rnacentral:rRNA from 1 species
GAUGAACGCUGGCGGCGUGCCUAACACAUGCAAGUCGAACGGUCACUUCGGUGAUAGUGGCGGACGGGUGAGUAACGCGUAAGAAUCUACCCUUAGGACGGGGACAACAACUGGAAACGGUUGCUAAUACCCGAUGUGCAGAGAUGUGAAAACUAAUUGGUCUAGGGAAGAGCUUGCGUCUGAUUAGCUAGUUGGUGUGGUAAGAGCGCACCAAGGCGACGAUCAGUAGCUGGUCUGAGAGGAUGAGCAGCCACACUGGGACUGAGACACGGCCCAGACUCCUACGGGAGGCAGCAGUGGGGAAUUUUCCGCAAUGGGCGAAAGCCUGACGGAGCAACGCCGCGUGAGGGAGGAAGGUCUUUGGAUUGUAAACCUCUUUUCUCAAGGAAGAAGUCAGUGACGGUACUUGAGGAAUAAGCAUCGGCUAACUUCGUG